AACGAACGCUGGCGGCAUGCCUAACACAUGCAAGUCGAACGAGAUCUUCGGGUCUAGUGGCGCACGGGUGCGUAACGCGUGGGUAUCUGCCCUUUGGUUCGGAAUAACAGUUGGAAACGACUGCUAAUACCGGAUGAUGACGAAAGUCCAAAGAUUUAUCGCCAGAGGAUGAGCCCGCGUAGGAUUAGCUAGUUGGUGUGGUAAAGGCGCACCAAGGCGACGAUCCUUAGCUGGUCUGAGAGGAUGAUCAGCCACACUGGGACUGAGACACGGCCCAGACUCCUACGGGAGGCAGCAGUGGGGAAUAUUGGACAAUGGGCGAAAGCCUGAUCCAGCAAUGCCGCGUGAGUGAUGAAGGCCUUAGGGUUGUAAAGCUCUUUUACCCGGGAUGAUAAUGACAGUACCGGGGGAAUAAGCACCGGCUAACUCCGUGCCAGCCGCCGCCGUAA
rnacentral:rRNA from 1 species